rnacentral:rRNA from 1 species
AAGCUAGUAAGAUCCCUGAAAGAUGAUCAGGUUGAUAGGUCAGAGGUGGAAGCAUGGUGACAUGUGGAGCUGACUGAUACUAAUAGAUCGAGGACUUAACCAA